GGUGGCUCAGUGGUAGAGCACUUGCUUUGCAUGCAUGAGACCCUGGGUUCAAUUCCUCAGCACCA
rfam:Dipodomys ordii contig_27878, whole genome shotgun sequence.